UACGUAGGGUGCAAGCGUUGUCCGGAAUUAUUGGGCGUAAAGAGCGCGUAGGCGGUCUGGCGCGUCUGCUGUGAAAACUCAGGGCUUAACCCUGAGCUUGCAGUGGGUACGGGCAGACUAGAGUGCGGUAGGGGAGACUGGAAUUCCUGGUGUAGCGGUGAAAUGCGCAGAUAUCAGGAAGAACACCCGUGGCGAAAGCGGCUCUCUGGAACGGUACUGACGCUGAGACGCGAAAGCGUGGGGAGCGAACAGG
rnacentral:rRNA from 1 species